rnacentral:rRNA from 1 species
CCCUUAGAUGUUCUGGGCUGCACGCGCGCUACACUGAUGCAUCCAACAAGUGUAUCACCUUGUUCGAUAGGACUGGGUAAUCUUUUGAGUAUGCAUCGUGAUGGGGCUAGAUUAUUGUAAUUAUUAAUCUUCAACGAGGAAUUCCUAGUAAGCGCGAGUCAUCAGCUCGUGCUGAUUACGUCCCUGCCCUUUGUACACACCGCCCGUCGCUGCAACUGAUUGGGUGAUCUGGUGAACUGCGCGGACUGGUUAUGCCUUUACUGGUGCAACCGGGAAACGCCGUAAAUCAGGUACAUCUAGAAAUUGCAAAAGUCGUAACA